rnacentral:rRNA from 1 species
UACGUGAGGGGCGGAACGUUGUUCGGUGUCACUGGGCUUAAAGGGUGCGUAGGUGGUUGCGUAAGUAACGUGUGAAAUCCCUCGGCUUACCCGGGGAAUUGCGCGUUAUACUGCGUGACUUGAGGAUUUCAGGGGAAUGGGGAACUCCAGGUGUAGCGGUGAAAUGCGCAGAUAUCAGGAGGAACACCAAUAGCGAAGGCAGCUCGCUGGGACGUUACUGACACUGAGGCGCGAAAGCGUGGGGAGCGAACAGG